rnacentral:sRNA from 1 species
GCUGGGUGUGGUGGCCCAUGCCUGUAACUCCAGUGGCUUGGGAGGCUGAGGCAGGAGGAUCACUGAGUUCAAAGCUAGUCUCAGCAAAAGCAAGACACUAAGCAACCCAGUGAGACCCUGUCUCUA